rnacentral:rRNA from 1 species
UACGUAGGGUGCGAGCGUUAAUCGGAAUUACUGGGCGUAAAGCGUGCGUAGACGGUUAUGUAAGUCAGGUGUGAAAUCCCCGGGCUUAACCUGGGAACUGCAUUGGUGACUGCAUUGCUGGAGUAUGGCAGAGGGGGGUGGAAUUCCACGUGUAGCAGUGAAAUGCGUAGAGAUGUGGAGGAACACCGAUGGCGAAGGCAGCCCCCUGGGCCAAUACUGACGCCUCAUGCACGAAAGCGUGGGGAGCAAACAGG